GCCAUGCCUUGAGUUCAGUUCAGGGCAGCCUCCCUGUUCAGUUAAUUAAUCUUUGGGACAUGAGCAGGGUAAGGUAGAUGAUUACAUAGAAAAUACUACUCUAUUCAUUUCUCUCUCCGCCGACAGAA
rnacentral:snoRNA from 1 species